UAAGCAUAUCAAUAAGCGGAGGAAAAGAAACCAACAGGGAUUGCCUAGUAACGGCGAGUGAAGCGGCAACAGCUCAAAUUUGAAAUCUGGCCCUCGGGUCCGAGUUGUAAUUUGUAGAGGAUGCUUUUGGUGCGGUGCCUUCCGAGUUCCCUGGAACGGGACGCCAUAGAGGGUGAGAGCCCCGUCUGGUUGGACACCAAUCCUCUGUAAAGCUCCUUCGACGAGUCGAGUAGUUUGGGAAUGCUGCUCUAAAUGGGAGGUAUAUGUCUUCUAAAGCUAAAUAUUGGCCAGAGACCGAUAGCGCACAAGUAGAGUGAUCGAAAGAUGAAAAGCACUUUGAAAAGAGAGUUAAACAGUACGUGAAAUUGUUGAAAGGGAAGCGCUUAUGACCAGACUUGGGCUUGGUAGAUCAACCUGGGUUCUCCCUGGUGCACUCUUCCUCGUCCAGGCCAGCAUCAGUUCGCUGCGGGGGAUAAAGGCUUCGGGAAUGUGGCUCCCUCGGGAGUGUUAUAGCCCGUUGCGUAAUACCCUGCGGUGGACUGAGGUUCGCGUUCUGCAAGGAUGCUGGCGUAAUGGUCAUCAGCGACCCGUCUUGAAACACGGACCAAGGAGUCGUCUUCGUAUGCGAGUGUUCGGGUGUUAAACCCCUACGCGUAAUGAAAGUGAACGCAGGUGAGAGCUUCGGCGCAUCAUCGACCGAUCCUGAUGUUCUCGGAUGGAUUUGAGUAAGAGCAUACGGGGCCGGACCCGAAAGAAGGUGAACUAUGCCUGUAUAGGGUGAAGCCAGAGGAAACUCUGGUGGAGGCUCGCAGCGGUUCUGACGUGCAAAUCGAUCGUCAAAUAUGGCAUGGGGCGAAAGACUAAUCGAACCUUCUAGUAGCUGGUUUCCGCCGAAG
rnacentral:rRNA from 1 species